CGGUGAGUAAUACAUCGGAACGUGUCUUCUAGUGGGGGAUAACUGCCCGAAAGGGCAGCUAAUACCGCAUGAGACCUGAGGGUGAAAGCGGGGGAUCGCAAGACCUCGCGCAGGAAGAGCGGCCGAUGUCCGAUUAGCUAGUUGGUGAGGUAAAGGCUCACCAAGGCGACGAUCGGUAGCUGGUCUGAGAGGAUGAACGGCCACACUGGAACUGAGACACGGUCCAG
rnacentral:rRNA from 1 species